rnacentral:rRNA from 1 species
UACGAAGGGGGCUAGCGUUGCUCGGAAUCACUGGGCGUAAAGCGCACGUAGGCGGAUUGCUAAGUCAGGGGUGAAAUCCUGGAGCUCAACUCCAGAACUGCCUUUGAUACUGGCGAUCUUGAGUCCGGGAGAGGUGAGUGGAACUGCGAGUGUAGAGGUGAAAUUCGUAGAUAUUCGGAAGAACACCAGUGGCGAAGGCGGCUCACCUGGUCCCGGUACUGACGCUGAGGUGCGAAAGCGUGGGUAGCAAACAGGA